GGGAAUGUGGCUUAGUGGUAGAGUGCUUGCCUAGCAUGCAUGAAGCCCUGGGUUUGAUUCCCCAGUACCA
rfam:Dipodomys ordii contig_51114, whole genome shotgun sequence.